ensembl:lncRNA
AUUGCUUUCAGGUUAAUUAGUGCCUCAUCCAUCCUCGAGGUUUUUAAAUUUUAUUUUUUUAAAUUAAUGAGCAUUGUAUUUGUGUAGUUUUAAAAUAUUAAUGUUUUAUUUAAAUGCCAUGCCGAGCAAUUGUUCUCCGUACAUGGUAGCCAAAACUUAGAGAUUUCGAUCAAUUUUGAUCAAUGUUUAGUAAUCCAAAACAUGUACUGUGUACAAAUGAAAUAAUAUGGCAUUUUAGCCAGGCGUGAUCCUUGCCUGGGGCAUUUAAGUUAAGCUCAAUUCUGUAUUUUAUUGGGGCUUCAUCACAUCCUUCAUCUGAAAUGUACACAUUUUUGGUGUAUGCUUGGUACUGGAGAUUCAUGUAUGCAAAUAUUCUCAUAUAAGAAGGUGAUACCAAAAUGUUUUUAAUUGCUUAGCCAGUGGCCAAAGAAAAUGUUCUGGGGAAGAUGACUCAGGCAUUUUGGGGUGAGACACCCGGCAGGAACUCCCACUGACCGGGCUUGGAGCCUUCUUGGAAUGCUCUUGAGAGGAGAUGGGUAUUGCAAAAUGGAACUAUAGCUGAAAGAAAGAAUGCAUGGGAGCUAAGAGAAAUUGGAGGAAUUCAGGAAGGAAGGCUUAUGAUGGAAGUGGAAGGAAGAGAAGGUAGAAGGGAGAUUAGGUGAAAUCCUAUGAGGAUGUGAGCGAGGUUUGGGUUUAGAAAACACAUUUUUUAGGUAUGUGCCAAGAGUCAAAAACUCAGUAGCCUGCAGGAACUAGGGAGGGGGAGGGAAGGGGUGAGAAGGUGGUGGGAGCUGAGCCCAAAAAAGGGAAUAAAAAUUACUCAGCUCCAUGCAGGAAAAGGGAAGGAGGGGCUGGAAAUCAGGACUUUUUUUUUUUUUUUUAAAGGUGAAAUUAACUGAUUUUUAAACAAAUACGUUUAAAAUGGCCAAAACAUUGAGUAGGCCAGACAAAACAUUUGGCUGAGCCUGGGGACUACCAACUUGCGACAACUGCCUUACACAGUUAACACCCCCAACUACGUAUGACGUUAUAUUCUUUGCAGUAGAGAUGAUGGUGUUAUACAUAGUUGAGGGUGUGAUACUUCAAUUCUUUAUCUCUCAGACUGAAGUUUUAUUGUAGGACCCCCCCCAUAAAAAAAUUAACACGGCCACGGAUAACACUAAACUCACAGCUGCCAGAAAAACCUCAAUUCUGGAGCCGUUCUUUUGAGUCAGAUCCUCCAUCAACCUACCCAGGGCCUGUUCUUGUCAUUUCCUUCCUGGCAAUUUGGGCUAAACUCCUUCGCUCCAUUGGAGUCUGCAGAUGAGUAAUCAGGAAGGAUUGCAGAAUAACUUGGUUUUUUGUAUUUAUUAAAAUUAUUUUUUUGCUCAUGCUAUCCCAGCCCGUGCCUUUCUGAUGAUGGUUGGUGGCUACAAAAACAGAGCUGGGGCUCUGGGCUAAGCUUAGAUUUGCCCCAUUCCUAAUGCUGAGAACCCAGUUCUGGUCAGAUUCCACUGUCCAGGAUUUGGAUCCCUUUCUGGCUUGAUGGCUCCCACCAAAAUGAACAUCCUACAACUCAGGAGGCACCCACCAAACAUGCUUCCAGGGCAUCUCGGGUAACCUGGAGUAGGAUACCUUUUUCUUUUGCAUGUGACUCUGACCUGGCCGACGAUAAUCUUCUCAUCUCUACUCCUAUGAAGAUUUUUUUUCCCCCACUGAUAGAGAAAGUGAACCUCAUUCACAUUUCCAGUGGUCCUCAGGAGGGAAACAAGUUCAGUGUUAUCAAUGUGGUGCUUGUUAUUUUUUUUUGAAAUCACUUGUCUGUGACUUAGAUACAUGUUUGUUUUUUUAUAUCUACAUAACAGAUGAUGGGGUGGGGCUGGUGCAAGUGCCAAUUGGGAGAGGACGGACGAUAUGCAAUCACGUGUACAGAGAAAAUAGAUGAAAAUGUGCCGCGAAACCCUAUAUAAUGUAUCAGAUAUUCAGGAAUAUUUUAGCACCUUUCGCCUUAAAGAAGUGCCUUGAUUCAGUCACUUGACUUAGAACACUCCUCCUGUUUCAUGGUCAUUGUAAUGUGUCUUCUGACCCCAAAUUGUGUAUUGUAAUGCAAUCUGGAAGUGGAAGUCAAAAGUUUUUUCCAACAACAGAGACCAAAGAGUUAAUCACAUAUGGUUCAGCUGCUAAGAUUUUGUGAUUAAAAGGCAUUUUAAUCACACCACAUUUCCAUGACCCAAAUGGUCAAGCAAGGUCUGCUGUUAGUUUUGUGUGCCAAGUCGGAGUAAAUUUGCACUUUCAAUCUCGUGGGUCAUUUGGGGACCUUGUUCUUUUACAUUUUGCUGUAUUAAUAAAGAAAAUUG